rnacentral:snRNA from 1 species
AUACUUACCUGGCAGGGGAGAUACCAUGAUCACGAAGGUGGUUUCCCCAGGGUGAGGCUUACCCAUUGCACUCCGGUAUAUAUGCAGUUUUCAUAUGGUCCAGCGAUUUUACUUCUGGAUAUAUACACAAAAUAAUUGAAAACGGAUUUGAAGAGUUAUUUGUACAUUCCUGUUACUAGCUGGCAGCAUUAUUCACAAUAGCCAAAGGUGGGGGUAAAAAGGUAGUGGGGGACUGCGUUCGCGCUCUCCCCUG